GGAGGAUCCGAGCGUUAUCCGGAUNUAUNGGGUNUAAAGGGAGCGUAGGUGGACUGGUAAGUCAGCNGUGAAAGUUUGCGGCUCAACCGUAAAAUCGCAGUNGAUACUGUCAGUCUNGAGUACAGUAGAGGUGGGCGGAAUUCGUGGUGUAGCGGUGAAAUGCUUAGAUAUCACGAAGAACUCCGAUUGCGAAGGCAGCUCACUGGACUGCAACUGACACUGAUGCUCGAAAGUGUGGGUAUCAAACAGGAUUAGAUACCCUGGUAGUCCACACAGUAAACGAUGAAUACUCGCUGUUUGCGAUAUACAGUAAGCGGCCAAGCGAAAGCAUUAAGUAUUCCACCUGGGGAGUACGCCGGCAACGGUGAAACUCAAAGGAAUUGACGGGCAGCAGCCGCGGUAAUACGUAUGGAGCAAGCGUUAUCCGGAUUUA
rnacentral:rRNA from 1 species